rnacentral:rRNA from 1 species
GGUGAACGCUGGCGGUGGGCCUAAUACAUGCAAGUCGAGCGGAAACACAGUAAGAUUGUGCUCCUAACGGUAGCGACUGACGGGCGGGUGAGGAGUACAUCACCAUCUACUAUUUCUUGGAGGACUUCGGAGGAACACUGACACUACUAGCUCAUAUGUCCUACGGGUUGAAUCAGUAGAGCUUGAGGGCUUGGCCGUUUCAUUGAGACGGUGUCGGAUUAGCUAGUUGGCGUGGUAAAGGCCCACCAAGGCGACGAUACGUAGCUGACCUGAGAGGAUGAUCAGCCACACUGGAACUGAGACACGGUCCAGACUCCUACGGGAGGCAGCAGUGGGGAAUAUUGGACAAUGGGCGCAAGCCUGACCGAGCAACACCGCGUGGGUGAAGAAGGUCUUCGGGUCGUAAAGCUCUUUUGUUGGGAAAGAACAGCUGUGGAAGAAUCUCCGGACGUUUUGACGGUACCCAAAGAAUAAGCACCGGCUAACUACGUG